UACGUAUGGGGCAAGCGUUGUCCGGAAUCAUUGGGCGUAAAGCGCGUGUAGGCGGCCAGAAAAGUCCGCUGUGAAAACUCGAGGCUCAACUUCGAGCUGUCGGUGGAAACUUUCUGGCUAGAGUCCGGAAGAGGAGAAUGGAAUUCCUGGUGUAGCGGUGAAAUGCGCAGAUAUCAGGAAGAACACCCGUGGCGAAGGCGGUUCUCUGGGACGGUACUGACGCUGAGACGCGAAAGCGUGGGGAGCGAACAGG
rnacentral:rRNA from 1 species